rfam:Spinacia oleracea cultivar SynViroflay scaffold12158.con0002.1, whole genome shotgun sequence.
GGCUCUCAUCAACGGAUAUCUCGGCUAUUGCAUCGAUGAAGAAUGUAGAGAAAUGCGAUACUUGGUGUGAAUUGCAGAAUCCCAUGGACCAUCGAGUCUUAGAACGCAAGUUGCUCCAUAAGCCUUAUGUUCGAUGGUACGCCUGCCUGGGCGUCA